AGUUGACAGACACACACUGGCAGGGCCGCUGGCUGGUCCUUAGCAAUCCUUGCAUGUGGCAUUUAGGAAAGAAAUGACGAUUCGAGGAAGAAAGGAAGUCUCAAGUUUGGGAUGACAUAAGCACCGAGGGUGGCAGGCAUCAAAGGGCAGGAAGAGAAGAGAACCCACACCCACUGAGCUAACAUUUAAACUCCAUCUAAUCCCACCAGGAACCAAAGGCACCGCGCUGAACGUCAGAUUAAACCCAGAAAUAUGUAUGAAAAAAAUCUGCUUUCUCCUGCUUUCA